CGGCGUGCCUAAUACAUGCAAGUAGAACGCUGAAGAGAGGAGCUUGCUCUUCUUGGAUGAGUUGCGAACGGGUGAGUAACGCGUAGGUAACCUGCCUUGUAGCGGGGGAUAACUAUUGGAAACGAUAGCUAAUACCGCAUAACAAUGGAUGACACAUGUCAUUUAUUUGAAAGGGGCAAUUGCUCCACUACAAGAUGGACCUGCGUUGUAUUAGCUAGUAGGUGAGGUAAUGGCUCACCUAGGCGACGAUACAUAGCCGACCUGAGAGGGUGAUCGGCCACACUGGGACUGAGACACGGCCCAGACUCCUACGGGAGGCAGCAGUAGGGAAUCUUCGGCAAUGGGGGCAACCCUGACCGAGCAACGCCGCGUGAGUGAAGAAGGUUUUCGGAUCGUAAAGCUCUGUUGUAAGUCAAGAACGGGUGUGAGAGUGGAAAGUUCACACUGUGACGGUAGCUUACCAGAAAGGGACGGCUAACUACGUGCCAGCAGCCGCGGUAAUACGUAGGUCCCGAGCGUUGUCCGGAUUUAUUGGGCGUAAAGCGAGCGCAGGCGGUUUGAUAAGUCUGAAGUUAAAGGCUGUGGCUCAACCAUAGUUCGCUUUGGAAACUGUCAAACUUGAGUGCAGAAGGGGAGAGUGGAAUUCCAUGUGUAGCGGUGAAAUGCGUAGAUAUAUGGAGGAACACCGGUGGCGAAAGCGGCUCUCUGGUCUGUAACUGACGCUGAGGCUCGAAAGCGUGGGGAGCGAACAGGAUUAGAUACCCUGGUAGUCCACGCCGUAAACGAUGAGUGCUAGGUGUUGGAUCCUUUCCGGGAUUCAGUGCCGCAGCUAACGCAUUAAGCACUCCGCCUGGGGAGUACGACCGCAAGGUUGAAACUCAAAGGAAUUGACGGGGGCCCGCACAAGCGGUGGAGCAUGUGGUUUAAUUCGAAGCAACGCGAAGAACCUUACCAGGUCUUGACAUCCCGAUGCUAUUUCUAGAGAUAGAAAGUUACUUCGGUACAUCGGUGACAGGUGGUGCAUGGUUGUCGUCAGCUCGUGUCGUGAGAUGUUGGGUUAAGUCCCGCAACGAGCGCAACCCCUAUUGUUAGUUGCCAUCAUUCAGUUGGGCACUCUAGCGAGACUGCCGGUAAUAAACCGGAGGAAGGUGGGGAUGACGUCAAAUCAUCAUGCCCCUUAUGACCUGGGCUACACACGUGCUACAAUGGUUGGUACAACGAGUUGCGAGUCGGUGACGGCGAGCUAAUCUCUUAAAGCCAAUCUCAGUUCGGAUUGUAGGCUGCAACUCGCCUACAUGAAGUCGGAAUCGCUAGUAAUCGCGGAUCAGCACGCCGCGGUGAAUACGUUCCCGGGCCUUGUACACACCGCCCGUCACACCACGAGAGUUUGUAACACCCGAAGUCGGUGAGGUAACCUUUUGGAGCCAGCCGCCUAAGGUGGGACAGAUGAUUGGGGUGAAGUC
rnacentral:rRNA from 1 species